CAUCUGUAUGCUAUUUAUCAUUAGACUGCUCCUUAAACAAUCUUGUCCAUCUCAUAUACUAAUAAUGGAACCACCGCAACUUUCAUCACAAUACAUUAGUGAUUAAACCACGAUGAUCAACAUAUUAAUACACUUAAUGACAUAGAUCAAAUAUGGAUGAGUAGCAUGGAAAUUUAUAUGAAAUGUGAUCUCAAACAUGCCUAUUUCCAACUGGUCCUUCUUUAGUCUUUAGUGAGAUCAUUCCAAAGUCCUUAAUGCAAUGCAAACAUUGCACAAUGAAAACACAAGCAAACUCAGAAAUAGAAUCAUAGACCAUCAACUUUAUU
rnacentral:lncRNA from 1 species